GCCGGGCGGAACAAGCGCUGAGGCCUCGGAGCUUCCGCCCGGGCGCGGGCGGGGCCGGCGCUGCCCGCCGGCACUUCCCGUGCCCCGACAUGGCGGAGUAUUCCUGCGUGAAAUCCACCAAGCUCGUCCUCAAAGGCUCGAAAGAGAAGAGCAAGAAGAAGCACAAGCAGAAGAAAAGGAAAAGGGAGGAGGAUGCAGCAGAGCAGCUUGAUAUUGUUGGAAAUUGGUGGGCUGUCAGUAAUUUUGGUGAAAUUACAGGAACUAUAGCUAUAGAAAUGGAUAAAGGAGCUUACAUCCAUGCCCUCGACAAUGGCUUGUUUACACUUGGAGCACCACAUAAAGAUGAUGAAGGCCCUAGUCCUCCUGAGCAGUUUACAGCAGUAAAGUUGUCUGAUACAAGGAUUGCUCUGAAAUCUGGUUAUGGCAAAUAUCUUGGUAUAAAUUCAGAUGGACUCGUUGUUGGACGUUCUGAUGCAAUAGGAUCAAGAGAGCAGUGGGAACCUGUCUUCCAAGAUAAGAAAAUGGCGUUACUAGCAGCAAACAGCCGUUUUAUUAGAUGUAACGAAGAGGGAGAUAUAGAAGCCAAAAGCAAAACUGCAGGGGAAGAAGAAAUGAUAAAGAUUCGUACUUGUGCUGAAAGAGAAGCUAAGAAGAAAGAUGAAGUUCCACAAGAAGACAAAGGAAACGUUAAACAGUGUGAAAUCAAUUAUGUAAAGAAAUUCCAAAGUUUUCAAGACAAAAAACUUAAAAUAAGCAAAGAAGACACAAAAGCUCUAAGAAAAGCCAGGAAAGAAGGCACUUUUCAUGAAAUGCUGCUUGACAGGAGAGCAAAAGUGAAAGCGGACAGAUACUGCAAGUGACAUCCAGCUGGUCCAUUUUCUUCUGCAUCUUUGACAGGGUCAAAUUGAAAACAAGAGUAAAAUAUUUUAUAAUUUUUUUUUUUAUUUAAGGCAUUUCUUAAGUAUCUUCAGAAUUAUAUUAAAAUUUUCUCACAUAUUGAUAACUCAGUUAUAAAAUCUUAUUAACUGUAUCACUUGUGCAUAUUUGACUUGUAUUAAGGGAAGAAAAAUUCAAGAAAUUCAACAAAAAUGGCAAGCUGUUUGCCAUAUACCUCAAGCCCUGGGAGACAGACUGUACACUGAUUUAGUCCAGAGAGAAAGCUCCCUGGCUUUUAGUGAUCUUGAGGGAGAAUAGUUGGUUUUUACCGGGAACUCUGUAUGUAACUUGAUUGCCCUCAAAUAAAAAUCAACACCCUGUUACUGGGUGAGCCAUGUAGGCAUAGCUUUUUAUCAAUAGCAGAAAGGGUCAGGUACAUGAACUGAUUGUAUAUGUAGCUUAGGGGCUUUUCAAUGGCUGCGUGUGUCCAUAUGCUCUGUGACUUAAUGUAAAGAAGAGGGCUAUGUUGUCUUUUCCGCAGUGAGUAAAGGUAUUGUUGGAAAAGACACACUGCACAUGCUCAGGUCUGACAGAGGUGUGAGUACAGAAUUUAUGGGGAGAAGGCUAAAAGCUAGAAAUAAAUAGAUGAUUGUUGGCAAAUGUUCCUGGCCAGUCUGAGGAAUUUUUUGGAUGAAAAUGCAGCAUAGCUGUGAGCUGUCCUAUCAGAUUAAAAAAAAAAAAAAAAAAAAAAUUUCUCCAGAGCUUCUUAGUUUGGCUUAGGACUGAGGAUUAGGGCUCAUUGACUAGAUCUUGUUGUAGGUACCACGCUACAUGUCCCUCCCCAGAUACGUAGGUAACCUGACAUAACAACCAUUACAACAUCGCGGACCUGGAAGUUGCCUAGUGCCAAAACUACUCCCAGAAACACUGAGCAGGAGGCAGCACUGCAAGGAACAGGCUGCAGGCCAGAGUGACUGUUUAUUGGACAGUUCAUUGCAGGUGUGAGUGAUCCACAAUCACUGUGAAUCUUAAAUACAUCUGAAGUGAAUGUUGAUGGUUGAAGUAGAUUGAUAUUACAGCAUCUGUUUUUCUUUCAAGAAUCUACUCUUUGAAUAAAAACUUGUCUGGUGGAACUUACAAAGAUGAUUACUUCAAAUAUGGAUACAUCUGGAAGCAGAAAUCUGCUCUGUGCUGGUGAGAAGAGUGCUGAAAGGAGUACUCAGCAGCUGAAUAAGAGCCUGAGAAUUACCCCUGUAAGGGAACUUUCCAUUUCAUUUCAGUGUAAAUAGGAGAUGCAGGGGGCAGGUGCUGUAAGUGCUAGUAAAGGAAAAACAGAACUGAGAGGUAUCUUGGUUACAGGGCUAGGAAUAAGUGAAGCAAAAAGAAAUGGCAGAGCAAAUGAAAUGAGGCUGCCCUAAGUAGAGGAGGAAGUACUAGAAUUGGCAAGGGACUAACAGCCUUACAGGGAAUAAGGAUAUUAUAGUAGCAGUGGGGUUGCCUUCUGUUUUGGAACUAAUGUAUACUAGAUUCAAGCUAAAACAUGUUCCGAGAUACACAGAAACAGUCAUCUGGGGAAUUCACUGGAAGUCUGAUCCCAGAAAAAUUAAAUCAAAGGUAUGACAGAACAAUGAAGAUUCGUAUGUGUAUUUAACUGAUGCUAUAAGGAGGCCAUUGGGAUCUUUUCCCAUUGGAGAUAUUCAUGGAGUCAUCUUGGAGAUGUGUCCUGGCAGUACUGUUAGCACAAGGAGCUUUAACUAAAACAGAAAAGGGAAGUAAUUUGUACAGCCUCUGCUUCUGGAGGAAGGAAGAGAUCUGGAGAGGUAUGAGAAAGCAGAAGGGUGGACAUAAGUUCUAGGUAUGAGUGACACCAGCUGUCUUAGUACAGUUAGCGAGUUAACUGCACAUCUUAAGAAGCUUUUUUCUUCUGACUUAACUCAGACUUUUGAAGGCAGCCAGAAGAAACCUAGACAACAAAAUGGAGGGUCCAAAGUAUUGGAGGGGCCUCAAGAGAGAAGACAUUCUGAUAGGAAUGGAGCAGAACAGCCACAGGCAGAGAAACAUGGGUACUGGAAGAUGUUAACUAUUCCUUAAACUGAGAGUUUCUUUACUAGUGGAAGAACUAAAGCAGAAGCACAAAGAGGCUUUGAAUGUGUAUGCUGUGAAUGUGUAAUGUGACAAUGGUAUUCUUUUGUCUUCAGAGGAUUUGGAAAGAGUUUUUCAUUUUCCAAAGUCAUAAUUAAUUUUGUACUGCGAAAAAAAUGUACUGAAGAUGAUAAAACAUCUAGACAAAGAUAGUAAAGUCCCUAAAAGCUGUCUACUCCAGAAAUAAAAGAUGAGCAAAUGGGGCUGCAGAUGUUUAGAAUAUAACAAGACCAACUUAAUCACUCUUUACUAUAGUCCAUAAUAGUAUCUUCAGAUAUCUGCAAGAAAAUACAGGAUUUUUGUCUUAUAUGUAUUUGUUUUCAACUGAAAAUAUUUUCCAGAUCCUAUAAAAACUGCCUGAUUUCCUAUUUUUGAAAGAACACACCCAUGAAAAUCUCAAGGUUUAUCCUGUUAUGCUGUAAUUUUCCUUAUUUUUAAAUCCAUAGAUUGGUUCUCUAUCUUCUUUCAGCAGUGCGUAAUGCUUUUCUACCCAAAGCUCUGUGCAAUUUCCCAGCUUAUGCUCUGAGCUGGCUCCUUCCUACACACUUGCAUUCCCUCCCUUGACCCAAAGGCUUUCCCACAUUACAAUACAUUCCUUUUAUCCUUUCCUGUUUCUUAAUUUCUGCAGUUCCUUGCAGCUUUCCAGUCAAACCUUCUGCCAAGGACUUCUUUUUCCUGCCACCCCCGGUUUGUUUUGUAAGACAGUUAAUUGCACAGGCAAUUAAGUCAUUAAAGACUAUAUCAGUUUUUUCUGUGUGCCUAAGAACACAUGACACAUCUUGGUCACUACGUAAAGCACAUGACACAAGCUAAAACACAGGCAGCCUGGAAGGUUUUGAGUAUUUUGUCAUAGUGCUUCCCACAGCUGUUGCUAAUGUAUACAGUCAUUAAAUGUUUAUUUGCUCCCACUAAAAUGAUACCUUUUAUUGUAA